UAAGUACCAUGUUAGAUGUGAUGAUCACCCUCUCUCCAUUUUGUAUCACGUAUCAGCACUUUUGUGAGCUAACCAAUGGGACAAGAGUGAAUAUGGAGCUUGUCGAUCUCUAUCUUCAAAUGCUGUCAAAAAUGCCACAAGUAAAGCCGAACACACUUUGGACUGCUCCUUGCACUGCUUUUCUGUGGGUAGAAGAAGACAUGAAACUGGUUGAAGAUAUGCUUGACUCAGUGAAUGUAUGUUAUAAUUAUAUACCAUGCAUGUCCCAGGUGGGUUUAUUUUUAUUUUUAUAUAAUUAUAUAGGAAUGAAGUAAACUGGUUGGCGGUCUAUAUAGGGUUAUUGUAGAGACAACGAGCUGGGAACGAGGCUGUAUACGUUUACAUGCAUGCAUGCAUAAUAGCCUCGAUCCCAGGCCGAGUUUUCGCUUUUAUAACGGUUAGGCGAACAACUGGGCCUGGUACUAGUUGUCUGCGCAUGCGUCAGUCGUUCGUCAGAUUCUGACGAAUGGAUAUUCUCGUUCACUUUGGUGACAUUUAUAUUUGUGUACUAUCGUGUACUAGAAGUCAGUUCCCGUUUUAUCAUUAUUGGAAUCGAUUGGAAUGGCUCUUAGCUGAAGCUUCUCUCUUCUCUGAAGCUUAUUCUGAAGACUGAACAACAAGGGAAGAGGUAUAAAGCUUUGUCAAGCUUGUUAAGGUCAGAUAUUUUUGUGUGGGCCCUAUGGCCGGCUAGGCUAUGCUAUCAAGUCUUGUUCAUGUUUGGCAAGAAUGUAGGUAGACUAUAGUUUCAUCAUUAAUAUGGUGGAUCAAGUGAAGAGUGUGAGCUAGAGAACUUGGUGCUGCCAUCAUCAGCUCGUCGACAAUGACACUAUAACCGAGAAAUUUAAUAUGUAUAGAUCUACACGUAUUUAAAAUGUCUACUUCUCUGUACAGGAGCAAUGGCUAAUAUCCAGCUAUCCCAACAGUGCUCCUCUUGGCUAUACUAACGGACGAGACUGGACAGUUUGAGACACAGGACUGGAGUAUGACCUGCUCAUUCGAGCGUUGCUGGGUAGCUCAGAGACAUCAAGAGAAUCUACGUUUUCUCAAGUAAUGAGUUACGAGUUGGGGCCUAGAAUCAGAGAAGUCCAGCAGCCUGCUAAAUCUUUUUGAAACGUAAUUUGAAGGCAUUCAAUCAUCCUGAAGUUGCCCUGGGUCACUGUAAUUGUGCUGCAGCACAACUGGCAACUCCCCAGGCCUUUGUGAAGCAGCUCCCUAUGUGCAUCUUUUGUGUACUCACUCUGUGCAUUUUCUGUGUGCAAAUUUCUAUUAUUGAUUUAUUAA